rnacentral:rRNA from 1 species
GAUGAACGCUCGCUACAGGCUUAACACAUGCAAGUCGAGGGGAAACGACAUCGAAAGCUUGCUUUUGAUGGGCGUCGACCGGCGCACGGGUGAGUAACGCGUAUCCAACCUGCCCAUCACUUGGGAAUAACCUUGCGAAAGUAAGACUAAUACCCAAUGACAUCCCACGAAGACAUCUGAAUGGGAUUAAAGAUUUAUCGGUGAUGGAUGGGGAUGCGUCUGAUUAGCUUGUUGGCGGGGUAACGGCCCACCAAGGCAACGAUCAGUAGGGGUUCUGAGAGGAAGGUCCCCCACAUUGGAACUGAGACACGGUCCAAACUCCUACGGGAGGCAGCAGUGAGGAAUAUUGGUCAAUGGGCGAGAGCCUGAACCAGCCAAGUAGCGUGCAGGAGGACGGCCCUAUGGGUUGUAAACUGCUUUUAUAAGGGAAUAAAGUGGGUCUCGUGAGACUUUUUGCAUGUACCUUAUGAAUAAGGACCGGCUAAUUCCGUG